GCGCAAUCCCAAUCGCAACGCGAUCCAUAAUAUUCGUUAUUAAUGUCGGUAAGGAAAAGCCUCCAUUAAUAUGUAUAUAUAUCACUCAUCUACUGUAACAAUGACAUAACAUAAAAAUUAUGAUUUUAGAAAAAACUUAGUUUGAAUGUAUUGAAUCGUUGUAACUUUAUUAAGACCAUAUUUCUAUGGUUAAAAUAUGACGUUAAAAUUCAUUGAAUGAGCGAUAUAUCGAUAAUCGACGACAACCAUUAGAUAUCGAUAUACGAUAACAUAAAAAAUGCAUCAAUUGAAAAUUAAUAUCAUUCAUGUCUUAAAACAUUCAGAACAGGAAGCAUCGUUAAUUAUAAAAUAAUAGAGGGUUAAUUUAAAAGUUAAACGUAUUCAAAUGGUAUUCGAAUCGUAUCUCUAACCUAACCCUAUUAUCUCGCUUUCUGGCGAGUUAUAUAACAAUGUCGAGAGAACAAUGGAUUUGAAAUGCAAAUAAAAACAGAGAACGAGAUAAUGGUUAGGAGAUGAACGAUUAGAACAAUGAUCUUGCAUCAUGUAUGAAUCAUCGGUGAAGCGUCAGCGAUUUACGUCACCACGGUCCCUGUUACUUAUCUGAUCGGGAAAAUCUAUUACCUCUGUUUCAUAUACGACAUACCUCUACUACUUGCAUCGCCUGUCCGAUCCAAUUCUAUACUACUUCCCCGGUUAAUUAUCAAACGUGCGAUAGUCUCGAUAUACGAGAUCGCGAAAUCGAUUUAAAUGAUAAGAAAUGCAUUAACGUAGUAUCUAGGCUGUUUCGAUAUUGAAACACACGGAAAUUGAACUGACCAACUCUAUCGAAAUUUACAGGUACAUAUCCUUGUACAACAUGGUAGGCCUGCAACAUUAGCUCUAAUACGAUUUGAGAAUUGGGGAAAUUCUACAUACAACAUAGUAGGCAAUGAGAAU